rnacentral:ncRNA from 1 species
CAAAGGUUUGGUCCUAACCUUACUGUCAAUUUCAACUAAAUUUAUACAUGCAAGUAUCCGCACCCCAGUGAAAAUGCCCUCUCGCUUCCACAAAGAAGACAAGGAGCUGGUAUCAGGCACUAAAAUAUUAAGCCCAUGACGCCUUGCUAAGCCACACCCCCACGGGACACAGCAGUAAUAAACAUUGAUUAUAAGCGCACAAGCUUGAAUCAGUUAUAGUUAAAAGAGUUGGUAAAUCUCGUGCCAGCCACCGCGGUUAUACGAGAAACUCAAAUUGAAAGUCUGCGGCGUAAAGGGUGAUUAUAGAAAAUUUUAAACAUUAGAAUUAAAAAUUAAUUAAGCUGUCGCACGCUUUUACUAAUCAAAAACACAACAACGAAAGUGAUUCUAAAUAAUUGAUAUACUUGAACUCACGACCUCUGAGACACAAACUGGGAUUAGAUACCCCACUAUGCUCAGCCUUAAACUUUGAUAAAUUACAUCUACACUCCGCCAGGGAACUACGAGCCUCAGCUUAAAACCCAAAAGACUUGGCGGUGCCCCACACCCCCCUAGAGGAGCCUGUUCUAUAAUCGAUAAUCCCCGCUGAACCUCACCAUUUCUUGCCCUUCCGCCUAUAUACCACCGUCGCCAGCCCACCCUAUGAAGGAACACAGUAGGCAUAAUGGUCUUCACCAAAACGUCAGGUCAAGGUGUAGCAUAUGAAAUGGCAAGAAAUGGGCUACAUUUUCUACUAUAGAAAACACGAAAGAUUUCAGUGAAACCUAAUCAGAAGGCGGAUUUAGCAGUAAAAAGAAAUUAGAGUAUUCUUUUUAAUUUGGCCCUAAGGCGCGCACACACCGCCCGUCACCCUCUUCAACCAACAACCUUCAGCAUAACUAAUGCAUUUAAGCUACUCAAGAAGAGGCAAGUCGUAACAUGGUAAGUAUACCGGAAGGUGUGCUUGGAACAU